rnacentral:rRNA from 1 species
UACAGAGGGUGCGAGCGUUAAUCGGAAUUACUGGGCGUAAAGCGUGCGUAGACGGUUAUUUAAGUCGGAUGUGAAAGCCCCGGGCUCAACCUGGGAAUUGCAUUCGAGACUGAAUAGCUAGGGUGCGGUAGAGGGAAGCGGAAUUUCCGGUGUAGCGGUGAAAUGCGUAGAUAUCAGGAGGAACGCCAAUGGCGAAGGCAAGUCUCUGGACAGUUCCUGACGCUCAUGCACGAAGGCCAGGGGAGCAAACGGG